GCGGGUGUAGCUCAAUUGGUAGAGCACCGGCCUUCCAAGCCGGGGGUUGCGGGUUCGAGUCCCGUCGCCCGCUCCA
rnacentral:tRNA from 1 species